rnacentral:rRNA from 1 species
AGAGUUUGAUCCUGGCUCAGAAUGAACGCUGGCGGCGUGCUUAACACAUGCAAGUCGAAUGAGAACGGGAUUGCUUGCAAUCCUUAGUAGAGUGGCGCACGGGUGAGUAACACGUAGAUAGUCUACCUUCAAGCCUGGAAUAACUAUUCGAAAGGGUAGCUAAUACCGGAUAAAGUUGGUUUACAUAGGUAAAUCAAUGAAAGAUUGCCUCUUCUUGAAGGCAAUUGUUUGGAGAUGAGUCUGCGGACCAUUAGUUUGUUGGUGGGGUAAAGGCCUACCAAGACUUCGAUGGUUAGCUGGUCUGAGAGGAUGAUCAGCCACACUGGAACUGACACACGGUCCAGACUCCUACGGGAGGCAGCAGUGAGGAAUUUUGCGCAAUGGGGGAAACCCUGACGCAGCAACGCCGCGUGAGUGAAGAAGGCCCUUGGGUCGCAAAGCUCUGUCGACAGGGAAGAAAUUAACAUCAUCCAAUAGGUGUUGUUAUUGACGGUACCUGUAGAGGAAGCACCGGCUAACUCCGUGCCAGCAGCCGCGGUAAUACGGGGGGUGCAAGCGUUAUUCGGAAUUAUUGGGCGUAAAGGGCGCGUAGGCGGUCUUGCCGGUCAGGUGUGAAAGCCCAGGGCUCAACCCUGGACGUGCAUUUGAAACAGCAAGACUUGAGUACGGGAGAGGAGAGCGGAAUUCCUGGUGUAGAGGUGAAAUUCGUAGAUAUCAGGAGGAACACCGAUGGCGAAGGCAGCUCUCUGGACCGAUACUGACGCUGAGGCGCGAAGGCGUGGGUAGCGAACGGGAUUAGAUACCCCGGCAGUCCACGCAGUAAACGUUGUACACUCGGUGUGCCGGAUAUUAAAAUCUGGUGUGCCUAAGUUAACACAUUAAGUGUACCGCCUGGGGAGUACGGUCGCAAGACUAAAACUCAAAGGAAUUGACGGGGGCCCGCACAAGCGGUGGAGCAUGUGGUUUAAUUCGACGUACGCGAAGAACCUUACCUGGCCUUGACAUAGAAAGAACUUUCCAGAGAUGGAUUGGUGCCUGCUUGCAGGAGCUUUCAUACAGGUGCUGCACGGCUGUCGUCAGCUCGUGUCGUGAGAUGUUGGGUUAAGUCCCGCAACGAGCGCAACCCUCGUCGUUAGUUGCUAACAGUUCGGCUGAGAACUCUAACGAGACUGCCUACGCAAGUAGGAGGAAGGUGAGGACGACGUCAAGUCAUCAUGGCCCUUACGACCAGGGCUACACACGUGCUACAAUGGGGUAUACAAAGAGCAGCGAUACGGUGACGUGGAGCGAAUCUCAAAAAUGCCUCCCAGUUCGGAUAGUAGUCUGCAACUCGACUACUUGAAGUUGGAAUCGCUAGUAAUCGUAGAUCAGCUAUGCUACGGUGAAUACGUUCCCGGGUCUUGUACUCACUGCCCGUCACACCAUGGGAGUUGAAUUCAUUCGAAGCGGGGAUGCUAAAAUAGCUACCUUCCACAGUGGAUUUAGCGACUGGGGUGAAGUCGAAACAAGGUA